rnacentral:lncRNA from 1 species
GCUGCUGCAGCCUUUAGAACAAACCACGACAGUUGGGAUCUAGAAGCCUGCGCCUCUCCUAGAGACACCACCUGCAUCACAGUGUCGGUGACCUGACCUUUGAAGGGGCCAUUUCCCAUCUUGGAAAUGGGGAUACUACUUGAUAUUCUUAUUUAUAGGAUUUGGUGAGGGCAUAUGAGGUUUCAAGACCUGGAGGUUCAAGCCAGCCCAUCUCACUGCUGAGCCAAUAAGGAGGAAGACAACAGGGUUACAACAAAGCUUCAGGCUUAGGAAGAAAUGUUUCACGUGGAUGGUGUCCUGGCCAGCGGGUUUGGUUCUAAAAUAAACACUACUGUCUCUGGGGCUGAAGAUUUGCCCAGGACAAUGAAGCAGCCAGCGGGAGGGUAGUGCAGAGCCG